CCUACGGGGGGCUGCAGUGGGGAAUAUUGGACAAUGGGGGGAACCCUGAUCCAGCCAUGCCGCGUGUGUGAAGAAGGCCCUCGGGUUGUAAAGCACUUUCAGUGAGGAAGAACGCCUGGUGGUUAAUACCCAUCAGGAAAGACAUCACUCACAGAAGAAGCACCGGCUAACUCCGUGCCAGCAGCCGCGGUAAUACGGAGGGUGCGAGCGUUAAUCGGAAUUACUGGGCGUAAAGCGCGCGUAGGUGGCUUGAUAAGCCGGUUGUGAAAGCCCCGGGCUCAACCUGGGAACGGCAUCCGGAACUGUCAAGCUAGAGUGCAGGAGAGGAAGGUAGAAUUCCCGGUGUAGCGGUGAAAUGCAUAGAGAUCGGGAGGAAUACCAGUGGCGAAGGCGGCCUUCUGGACUGACACUGACACUGAGGUGCGAAAGCGUGGGUAGCAAACAGGAUUAGAUACCUUUGUAGUC
rnacentral:rRNA from 1 species